AGACCUUUUGGAAUCGAUUCACCAACACGGAGCGAAGGCGAAUUGCAAACCAGUUUAAAUGUCCUAAGAAUGCAGAAAAUAGAUAAUUUAUCUGGCUUCAUCUGCACUGUGGAAUUAAUGCAGUUUGACACCACAUUAACUGCCAUGGGUCCAUGGAAUUCUGGGAUUUGUAGUUUUGUGGCACCCGAUUUAUUUGGGCACAGAAGUACAAAAAAAAAUCCCCUAAAACCAACACCUGUAUCUCCAAUCCUUGCAAUAAGUAAAUAAAGAUGUCUGCUAAUUCAAAUGCAAAUAUGUUGCUGAUAAAUGAAAUUAUGUAAUGUAAUAAAGAAUAUAUGUAUAAAUAUAUAA